GUUUCUGUGGAAUACAAUAGACUCAACUCAGCCACAAAUGUAUCAGCCAGUCAUGCAAGUCUAUUGAAAGGCUCUACAACAAGUACGGUCAAUGUUUUAACCUGUUGGUCUUCAUCUGGUCUCCAUGGAAAAAAAUAUACAGAUUUGACAGACUACAUUUUGACAACAGAUUACACAAAAGGUUUGUGAAAGGAAGGAACACAUAGGAGUCAACAAGUAAGUUUACACCCAGGACCUCUUUUCGGAUAAAUCCGUUUGAAUUCAAUCACUUUUUGACAGCAUCCCUUUUGAUUUAAACAAAACUUUCCUACAUGUUUUCCCAUGGAAGAAGUGGUCAGAAAGUGACCUCAAUCCCAAAACAUUCAGGAGAUAAGUGCUCAAAAUGUCUUCAUCACUGGAAAAAGUAAACGGUUCAGUUUGAUGCCAUUUAAAAGCUUACAAAACAGGGUUAUCAAACUACUUAAUCAUUUAUUGAAAAAUGUUUUUAAUUUGAAAAAAAAUUGACCUUAACAUCAAUUAUUUAAAAAAUAAUCUUCAUGUUCACAUACAUAAAAUACAUUUUGAUCUGUUUAACACUUUUUUGGUUACUACAUGAUGCCAUGUGUUAUUUCAUAGUUUUGAUGUCUUCAUUAUUUUUCUACAAUGUAGAACAUUUUUUAAUUAAAAUAAAACCCUGGAAUGAGUAGGUGUGUCCAAACUUUUGACUGGUACUGUAUGUUGUAGCUUAGACCAUAUUUUUACAUCUGAGGUUUGUGUGUUGUGCCCGUCAUCGGUUGAGACGCAACAUGCUCUUGAAUACAGGGUGGGUGUCAUUUCAAUCAUAGAAAUAUAUUUCAUAGAAUGGACCUAUCCCUUCAGACCUCUGCAAUUUAGCUGGUACGCCAUUGGCAUUUUAAUUUAAAUGACAUUUGUACUUCUAAUUACUAACAAACAUUUCUGCUGGUCCACCCAUUGUCGAAUGUCAAUUUAAAUGGUCAUGUCUAUUCUAUGAUCUAUAUUUCAAAAGGUUUCCUAUGGAGGAUUGACAGUAUAAUAUAAAACUACUGAUAUUCCCAUCCAAGUCAACAUUGUGUGUAAUUGACAUUUAAGGGAGAAACAAAAUGUUAAAAAAACAUGUUCAUAAGCUUUUAAAUAUGUAAAUCUCAACUGUUUUUAUAUUUUCCAGUGAUGAAGAGAUGGAUGUCUCAUGGGAUGGUGUGUAUGCAAAAUAGGUCAACUGAGUACUUUUUAUCUCUUGACUAUUUUGCCAUUCAGGUCCAAAAAGUAACUUUCUGAGCACUUCUACAAUGGGAAAAAAAAUGUAAGGCAGGUUCUAUUAAAUUCAAAAGGGGUACUGUCAAAUUUGUAUUUAAUGCAAAUGGUUUUACCUUUAAAUCACAUUCUCAAAAUUCAUUCUGAUCUAAAGUACCACUUACCUGGGUCUACAUGGCACCUCCCUGCCCCCCUGACUAAGCACAAAGGGGCGAAGCCACAGACCAGUGUGAUGGAGAAAAGAACAACCAGUGCUCCCAGCUUUACCUCCAGGCCAGGGACAUAAACUGGGUUCAUCUGCACUUCAGAUGGCCACCCGGAGAGGGCAACAGAAGAUCCUUUUCUGAGAGCCAUCUCUGCACUCCCUGCUUCUCUUUCACUCCUGAGUGAAACAGCAAAGAGUAGCUCUCAGACGCCCUCCAUUGGCUUACAGUCGAAUGGGGAGGGGUAGACCACCUGCAUCAGAGAAGUUUGAGUAACAUUUGCCUACAUUCAAAUCAAGUCAAGACAAAUAAACGCAGUUUGACAUUUAUUGCAUACAUUUUCAUAGUGCCCAUGGUUUAGGGUGAGAGACUUCUGUGACAAUGUCACAUUGUAGCAUCUGCUCUGGGAUCUUGGCAAACAAAUAACAUGAAUUCCCAGAUACAGUAUGUGAAAGGAUAGAAAACAUACAGUUUGUGAAGGAAAGGGGUGGCAUAGAAAGCAUGUGACUGAUCUAACAUCAGAUAAUAUUGAAUUGCUUUACCGGGACUGUUAUAAUAUCCUGUACAGCCGUUUAGAAAGUUAAAAACGAUCGCUAGUCCAUAAAAAGUUUUAAACAAUAUGACUAAACGUAUAGCUUUCUGCAUAUGGCGUCUCUCGCAUUACAAAUAGCAAGCAUAAAUAAUGUACUACCUUCUGUCGUAUUCUCUCAUAAAAGGACAGCCUUGGUGAGCAGCUUGUAUUGGCACAGACUUAAUAACAAGUGGGAAAAAGGCAGCAAAAUUACAUUA